rnacentral:rRNA from 1 species
CCUACGGGUGGCAGCAGUGAGGAAUAUUGGUCAAUGGGCUUACGCCUGAACCAGCCAAGUCGCGUGAGGGAAGACUGCCCUAUGGGUUGUAAACCUCUUUUGUCAGGGAGCAACGCCGGCUACGUGUAGCCGGACUGAGAGUACCUGACGAAAAAGCAUCGGCUAACUCCGUGCCAGCAGCCGCGGUAAUACGGAGGGUGCGAGCGUUAUCCGGAUUUAUUGGGUUUAAAGGGUGCGUAGCCGGAAUGCCAAGUCAGCGGUAAAAUCGCGGGGCUCAACCUCGCUCCGCCGUUGAAACUGGAGUGCUAGAGUAGGAGAGAGGGAUGCGGAAUGAGUGGUGUAGCGGUGAAAUGCAUAGAUAUCACGCAGAACCCCGAUUGCGAAGGCAGCAUACCGGCGCCCAACUGACGCUGAAGCACGAAAGCGUGGGUAUCGAACAGGAUUAGAUACCCUGGUAGUC